GUUGAAACACCGGUUCUCGUACGAUCAUAGAAGUUAAGCAACGUCGAGACUGGUCAGUACCUAAAUCAGUGACCCCUUUGAAUACCAGGUGCUGCAC